CACACGACCCGCUUCUUUAAAGAACCCGCAUAUCCGCCGUCUCGUUUCCCCGUCUCUCUCUAUAAAAGAAGGUCGCUCCUCUACCAGUCUCUCUUCAAAGCAUCUCUUCAGCGACAUCUCAUUAGUGUUCGUGCUCUUCUCCCUCUUUCUGUACUGCCGAGCUUAUUUGCAGUCAGUUGAUAGCACUAUUUUCCGUUGAAAAAUGACGCGGUGAAGAAAUUUUAAGAUCGAUGCAACGAUUUUUAAUCGUUAUAGAUAUGCGAGAACUUUGGCCGUGAAUUGUUCGUUCAAUUUUAAAAAUAAAUAUGAAGAUCGGAUAUUCGAAAAGUUGGAUUGAAACUGAACGUAAAUCAGUUGAUGUGAUAUAAUUUUGCAGCUUGAAUUUUUUUUGCGAAGUUCAGAAUCUCCAUAUCGGAAUUCGACAAUAAAUCUUCCUGCCACGCCAGUGUUUUUCAGCCAGCUUCCUGUGGAAUAGAAUCAAUCUUGUAGUGUUUUCUAUGAUUAAUCUUUUGCUUGGAAGCUGAUUGCAAAUUUCAUUUGAAGCUGAUUUGCUACCUUAUGGCUCAUCAACCAGCACGCAUGCAGAAUGAAACUGUUACUUCAGGAGUUGCUGCAAUUGAAGGCUUGCAGAGGAUAUAAAUCUGGGGUAUCAGUUGAUGUAAGAAAUUAAAAAUGCUGCCGUAAAUUCAGUAAUAAAAUGACAACUAGAACUUUCUUAAGCUGUGAUUCUCCGGAGGUUGUGAUUCAGUAAUAAAAUGACGACUAGAAUUUUUAAAAAAUUGGAAGCAUGUAAAAAACUAUAAAUAAACACUGCUAAAGUUGAGACCAUUAUGUACUAUAUAGUUUUCAAUCUUGACACGGCCUGUAGAAUUGAUUUGGAACCUGAGAAGGCCCGGUUAGGAGUAGGCAAAAUUUAGACUUGUAAUUAGCCCAAUGAAAUUUUUAUGUAUGGAACAAA